AUGCUUUCUUCAGCAGCGUAUAUACUAAAAUUGGAGUGAUACAGAGAAGAUUAGCAUGGCCUCUGCACAAGGAUGACACAGAAAUUCAUGAAGCAUUCCAUAAAAAA
ensembl:snRNA U6 U6 spliceosomal RNA